UUCUUUGGUUGCUUUGUUUACCAAUCCCAAAUUCCAUUGGAUUGAGAAGAUGAGAAGAUUCAAAUAAGAUUAUUCAUUAAAGCCAAACAAGAGAGUAGGAUUAAAGUUACUUGUUCUCACAAAUUUAUUUAUUUAAUAGACAACUUAAUACCCAAAAAGAUAUAAGUCUUGUGAGAAACUAGGGCAACAAAUGGUUCUUGUUGCACAUCUUGGUACAACCCUCCACACAGCUUUCAUGUUUUGUGACCCCUAACCAAAAAGAAACAUGAAAAGCAAUAAGAUGAAACAUUGAGAAAAUGAGAGGGAAAAAUGUAUUUCUACAUAAUAAAUAUGAAAUUAAUAAUAAAAUUCUAAAACUCUUUACAUUCAUAGAUUAAAGAUGAUAUUUAAGGUGGUCAAAAUUAAUAUUUAUAUUAUUAAAAGAUAGCACCUCAAUGAUAAAAAAUAAGGAUUUGUUUGGUAAUCAUUUUUCAAAAUAUUUCUAAAAACAAUUUUUUAGAACAGACUUUAAAUUUUUUUUUUUAAUAUUUUGUUAAAAAAACUAUUUGAAAACUUAAAAUAUUUUUAACUUAUUUUUAAAUAAUUUUUAUAUAUAAUUUUUUUUAAUUAUUCAAUAUGUUUGUACUGUCAAACAUAUUUUUUAAUUUUUUAUUCUAAAAAUAGAAAAUUGUUCUUGAUAACAUGAUUGAAAAAUAUACAAAAUUUUAAUUAUUUGUAUAUAGAUAUAAAAAGUUUGGAUUUUAUAAAUCGAGAUUCUUAUUUUAUGGAUUUUAUUUUUUUUAAUAAGAGCAUGAAAACACACUUUCCACUAAAGAGAGAAAGGGCAAGAAAAGUACCAAGCUUUUGAUCGCCGCAAAAUUUCGAUGCACAACUAGAUUCGCAAGAGUGAAUGAGGGUGUGUGAAGGAGAUCCCCCACUACAUUGUACGUCACAUCGUAGUUGGCACAUCAAAGGAUCAUGAAGUCGGGGUAGACAAAGUGAAUAGCAUUCCUUGUAGCAAUUGGAAGCCGCACUGGACUGCCCUACAAUCAUCCAAAACACCAAACAAAUUGUUGCGACAGCCUUGAGUCUCCCCACCUCCAUAUUCUAUCUCAACAAAUUCUGCCUGCUUUCCUCUGUAUAAUCUCUACUCCCACAAGAAGAAAUGUUGGGAAUGAUUC
rnacentral:lncRNA from 1 species